CCUACGGGUGGCAGCAGUGGGGAAUAUUGCACAAUGGGCGAAACCCUGAUGCAGCGACGCCGCGUGAGUGAAGAAGUAAUUCGUUAUGUAAAGCUCUAUCAGCAGGGAAGCAAAUGACGGUACCUGAGUAAGAAGCACCGGCUAACUACGUGCCAGCAGCCGCGGGAAUACGCCGGGGGCCAGCGUUAUCCGGAUUUACUGGGUGUAAAGGGAGCGUAGACGGCAGUGCAAUUCUGGAGUGAAAGGCGCGGGCUCAACCCCCGGACUGCUCUGGAAACUGUACGGCGGGAGUGUAGGAGAGGUAAGUGGAAUUCGUAGUGUAGCGGUGAAAUGCGUAGAUAUUAGGAGGAACACCAGUGGCGAAGGCGGCUUACUGGACUGUAACUGACGUUGAGGCUCGAAAGCGUGGGGAGCGAACAGGAUUAGAUACCCUUGUAGUC
rnacentral:rRNA from 1 species